UACGAAGGGGGCUAGCGUUGCUCGGAAUUACUGGGCGUAAAGCGCACGUAGGCGGACUCUUAAGUCGGGGGUGAAAGCCCAGGGCUCAACCCUGGAACUGCCUUCGAUACUGGGAGUCUUGAGUGUGGAAGAGGUUGGUGGAACUGCGAGUGUAGAGGUGAAAUUCGUAGAUAUUCGCAAGAACACCAGUGGCGAAGGCGGCCAACUGGUCCAUUACUGACGCGUGAGGUGACGAAAGCGGUGGG
rnacentral:rRNA from 1 species